CCUACGGGAGGCAGCAGUGGGGAAUAUUGCACAAUGGGGGAAACCCUGAUGCAGCGACGCCGCGUGAAGGAAGAAGGAGUUCGGUAUGGAAACUUCUAGCAGCAGGGAAGAAAAGGACGGUACCUGACUAAGAAGCCCCGGCUAACUACGUGCCAGCAGCCGCGGUAAUACGUAGGGGGCAAGCGUGAUCCGGAUUUACUGGGUGUAAAGGGAGCGUAGGCGGCGAUGCAAGUCAGAAGGGAAAGCCCGGGGCUCAACUCCGGGACUGCUUGUGAAACUGUGUUGCUAGAUUGCAGGCGCGGUCAGUGGAAUUCCUGGUGUAGCGGUGCACUGCGUAGAUCUUCGGAG
rnacentral:rRNA from 1 species